rnacentral:misc_RNA from 1 species
UCUCCGUUGGUGAACCAGCGGAGGGAUCAUUACCGAGUUAACAACUCCCAAACCCCUGUGAACAUACCUAUCGUUGCCUCGGCGGUGCCCGCUCCGGCGGCCCGCCAGAGGACCCCCAAACUCUUGUUUUAUACAGUAUCUUCUGAGUAACCCGAUUAAAUAAAUCAAAACUUUCAACAACGGAUCUCUUGGUUCUG